rnacentral:rRNA from 1 species
AUGAGUGAUCAUAAUUGUGUUGUGUUCAAUUGGAAUGUGAGGGGACUGAAUAACCCCGCACGUCGCCAAGUUGUUCGUGAUUUGGUUGUUCGCAACCGCGCCUCCAUUGUCUGUCUCCAAGAGACCAAACUGGACUCCGUGGAUAAAAGGCUAAUUUUGGAGCUCCUUGGCCCCUUGUUCACUGAUGCCUUCUGCUUCCUCCCCGCGGACGGAACCAGGGGAGGAAUUAUCUUGGCUUUCAGUUCU